rnacentral:rRNA from 1 species
ACGACUCUCGACAACGGAUAUCUCGGCUCUCGCAUCGAUGAAGAACGUAGCGAAAUGCGAUACUUGGUGUGAAUUGCAGAAUCCCGUGAACCAUCGAGUCUUUGAACGCAAGUUGCGCCCGAUGCCGUCAGGCUGAGGGCACGUCUGCCUGGGUGUCACGC